CCAGUCCCUUGUGCUCACCCUAAAACAAUUGAACAGCCCCACAACAGGAAAAGGGAGUAAAGGCCAGUCCCAGAUGAAUGCAGCUGCACUUGUUUCCAAUCCCCUUUCCAUAUUAUUACAUCCCUCAUGGGCUGUAGCAGCUGGAGGCCAAGGAAGGUGCAGUAUUUGGGUCAAAAAAACUCUGUUGGCCCCUCUUUGGAUCUAUGAAGGGCCAUGGUCUCAGCCUCACUGAAAGAGAAACUGAAGUUCUCCUCAAGUCUGAGCAUUGUUCUGUACUUCACAAAGUUAACAUGUGGUCUUGUGAUGAUUUUCACUGCUGGUUUUAAACCAUGCAUGAGUUUUAAUCUGCAUACCAUUACAGUUCUCAAGAUGUUUUAAUAAAUAGGCACUAAAAUGGGAGGCGAGGAGAUGCGCAGAGCAGCUGGCUCCACCAUCCUCAGCCUGGAUGUGUCCAAGGGGGAGCAUGGAUCAUCUUCCAUCAGAGUAUAACUGGAUAUGCAUUCACCUCUGAUACCAAGAGUGCGCUCUACCUGGGAAGAGGAUUUCAGAGGACUGGAGAAGGGGUCCGCUUUCAGCAGAGGCUUGAACUUCAAAAACUACAAGGAGCAGAAAGAAAGAAACAAAAGAACAGCAGACCUGAAGGACAACAGCAAAUACAAGGAAAGAAGAAAGUAUCAUACUGAAAUCCAAUGAGAAAAGUUAAAUGCAUAAGAAGUGUAGGGAAUAAUCCAAGAGAAACCACACAGAGAAGUACAAGGCUGUGAGCUACAGGGAAAUCCAAACCAAUACAGAUUGCAGCACAUGUACACCUAGCAACUCCAGGUCAGUGAGACAGCAGGGUGCCACCCACCCUCAGCUCCCCUGAGAGCUGGUUUCAAAGUCUAGUAACUGCAGCUACCAGGCAAUGACGUCUGCAAAGCACAUAAUAGCAAAAGUGCUCAUCACCUCCACACCAUCUCCGCCUAACAAACAACUGCUGCACCCAAGGAGCUGUGGAGAGGAGUCAGAUUAGCAAGAGGUACAUAAUUAUAGAUAAACUGCAACCAUCUUCUGGAUUUGACUGUCUGUGGGGUUCUGGUCAAGCUAAAGAUGCCUGGCAUCUCAACAAGCUUUUCCUACAAUUGCUCACUGGUUGUCAUGUACCUUCCUUACUCAACAAGAAGCAUGAGGAAAAUGAGACUAAUUUGCCUGCAAAUAUGAGAGAAGGCUGCAGUCAGAACAUGGGAUAAUAUAGUCCCUGCACAAGCCAGUCUCAGUGACUUGUAAGUGCUCAUUUUUUGGCUCUGCAGUCUGUGGCAUCCUUCUGACAAGAAAUGGACUAACAGUGUCCCAAACCCACCUCACACUUCCUGGCACGAAAGGCCUUCACACAACACCUCCAAAAUAAUAGCAAAGGUACAACCAAAAGCUUUUGAUUAAGUCAGGUAUUCAGUAAACAUUUCACUCAUCUGUGCAAGAAAACUGAACAUCAGAAUAGUGUGCAGUGUGGAAGAAAGCAUUGCAUUUUUGGGGGUUCUGUUUGGGGCUUGUUGUUAUAAAGAACCAGUGGCUGGUGGGGAGUAGGUUGCUGAAAACAGGCAGAUCUUUAUGUGGCAAUUCAGGUCCAGCCAAGAGAUGUCACAGUUGAAUUCAACUAUAAUUUUCAGGUUGCCUUUCUUUUUUGCUCAUUAUUUUUGACUGUUCAUUAUUUUGU
ensembl:lncRNA